UAGCAGCACGACAUGGUUUGUA
rnacentral:miRNA from 2 species